rnacentral:rRNA from 1 species
CUGCCAGUAGUCAUAUGCUUGUCUUAAGGAUUAAGCCAUGCAUGUCUCAGUAUAAACGAUUUUAUACGGUGAAACUGCGAAUGGCUCAUUACAACAGUUAUAGUUUAUUUGAUCGUGCGGUACUACGUGGAUAACCGUAGGAAUUCUAGAGCUAAUACAUGCCCCUUCGCUUUCAAAAUUUUUUUUUUUUUAAAAAAAAAAAAAUUUUGAAAGCGAAGGGGCAUGUAUU